rnacentral:rRNA from 1 species
GAUUAACGCUGGCGGCGUGCCUAAUACAUGCAAGUCGAGCGAAUCGAUGGGAGCUUGCUCCCUGAGAUUAGCGGCGGGCGGGUGAGUAACACGUGGGUAACCUGCCUGUAAGUCUGGGAUAACUUCGGGAAACCGGAGCUAAUACCGGAUACUUUCUUUUCUCGCAUGGGGGAAGAUGGAAAGAUGGUUCUGCUAUCACUUACAGAUGGACCCGCGGCGCAUUAGCUAGUUGGUGAGGUAACGGCUCACCAAGGCGACGAUGCGUAGCCGACCGGAGAGGGUGAUCGGCCACACUGGGACUGAGACACGGCCCAGACUCCUACGGGAGGCAGCAGUAGGGAAUCUUCCGCAAUGGACGAAAGUCUGACGGAGCAACGCCGCGUGAGCGAAGAAGGCCUUCGGGUCGUAAAGCUCUGUUGUUAGGGAAGAACAAGUACGAGAGUAACUGCUCGUACCUUGACGGUACCUAACCAGAAAGCCACGGCUAACUACGUGCCAGCCGCCGCCGUAA